AUUGAACGCUGGCGGCAGGCCUAACACAUGCAAGUCGAGCGGGGUUUUCGGACCUAGCGGCGGACGGGUGAGUAAUGCGUAGGAAACUACCCGAUAGAGGGGGAUACCAGUUGGAAACGACUGUUAAUACCGCAUAAUGUCUACGGACCAAAGUGUGGGACCUUUGGGCCCCAUGCUAGAGGACGAGCCUCGGUGGGAUUAGCUGGUUGGUGGGGUAAUGGAUCACCAAGGAGACGAUCCCUAGCUGGUUUGAGAGGAUGAUCAGCACACACGGGAACUGAGACACGGUCCAGACUCCUACGGGAGGCAGCAGUGUGGAAUAUUGGACAAUGGGCGCAAGCCUGAUCCAGCCAUGCCGCGUGUGUGAAGAAGGCCUUCGGGUUGUAAAGCACUUUCAGUAGGGAGGAAGGGUGUUGUGUUAAUAGCACAGCAUUUUGACGUUACCUACAGAAGAAGCACCGGCUAACUCUGUGCCAGCCGCCGCCGUAACAC
rnacentral:rRNA from 1 species